UACGUAGGGGGCAAGCGUUAUCCGGAUUUACUGGGUGUAAAGGGAGCGUAGACGGCGAGACAAGCCUGGAGUGAAAGGCGGGGGCCCAACCCCCGGACUGCUCUGGGAACUGUCUGGCUGGAGUGCAGGAGGGGUAGGUGGAAUUCCUAGUGUAGCGGUGAAAUGCGUAGAUAUUAGGAGGAGCACCAGUGGCGAAGGCGGCUUACUGGACUGUAACUGACGUUGAGGCUCGAAAGCGUGGGGAGCAAACAGG
rnacentral:rRNA from 1 species